GAGGGUAUAGUUCAGUGGUAGAGUGCAUGCCUAGCAUGCAUAAGGUCAUGGGUUCAAUCCCCAAUAUUUCCA
rnacentral:tRNA from 1 species